GGGAACCAUACUCCUCACAACUCCUGGUUAAGUAAGUUUCGUAACUUAAUCGAGGUCACCUGAAGGACGGCGUUCCUGAGUUUCCUCAGCAACGGCAAGACCCGCACUCCUCUCAUAUCGGGAAGUUUAACGAGUUUCGCGGCUCAAGCAAGAGGCACCUGUCAC